UACGGAGGGUGCAAGCGUUGUUCGGAAUCACUGGGCGUAAAGGGCGCGUAGGCGGUUUGAUAAGUGAGAUGUGAAAGCCCACGGCUUAACUGUGGAAGUGCAUUUGAAACUGUCAGACUUGAGUAUCAGAGGGGAAAGUGGAAUUCCCGGUGUAGGGGUGAAAUUCGUAGAUAUCGGGAGGAAUACCGGUGGCGAAGGCGACUUUCUGGCUGAAUACUGACGCUGAGGCGCGAAAGCGUGGGGAGCAAACAGG
rnacentral:rRNA from 1 species